ACGUAGGGGGCGAGCGUUGUCCGGAUUUAUUGGGCGUAAAGAGCGCGUAGGCGGCUUGCCAAGUCGUGCGUGAAAUACCUCGGCUCAACCGGGGGGUGUCGUGCGAUACUGGUAGGCUUGAGGCCGGUAGGGGGAAGUGGAAUUCCCGGUGUAGUGGUGGAAUGCGUAGAUAUCGGGAGGAACACCAGUGGCGAAGGCGGCUUCCUGGACCGGUCCUGACGCUGAGGCGCGAAAGCGUGGGGAGCGAACUGAAUUAGAUACUCAGGUAGUCCACGCUGUAAACGAUGGAUGCUAGGUGUCGGGGGUAUCGACCCCUCCGGUGCCGCAGCUAACGCAUUAAGCAUCCCGCCUGGGGAGUACGGCCGCAAGGCUA
rnacentral:rRNA from 1 species